CAUGCAAGUCGAGGGGAAACGACAUCGAAAGCUUGCUUUUGAUGGGCGUCGACCGGCGCACGGGUGAGUAACGCGUAUCCAACCUGCCCACCACUUGGGGAUAACCUUGCGAAAGUAAGACUAAUACCCAAUGACGUCUCUAGAAGACAUCUAAAAGAGAUUAAAGAUUUAUCGGUGAUGGAUGGGGAUGCGUCUGAUUAGCUUGUUGGCGGGGUAACGGCCCACCAAGGCGACGAUCAGUAGGGGUUCUGAGAGGAAGGUCCCCCACAUUGGAACUGAGACACGGUCCAAACUCCUACGGGAGGCAGCAGUGAGGAAUAUUGGUCAAUGGACGAGAGUCUGAACCAGCCAAGUAGCGUGCAGGAAGACGGCCCUAUGGGUUGUAAACUGCUUUUAUAAGGGAAUAAAGUGAGAGUCGUGACUCUUUUUGCAUGUACCUUAUGAAUAAGGACCGGCUAAUUCCGUGCCAGCAGCCGCGGUAAUACGGAAGGUCCGGGCGUUAUCCGGAUUUAUUGGGUUUAAAGGGAGCGUAGGCCGGAGAUUAAGCGUGUUGUGAAAUGUAGAUGCUCAACAUCUGAACUGCAGCGCGAACUGGUUUCCUUGAGUACGCACAAAGUGGGCGGAAUUCGUGGUGUAGCGGUGAAAUGCUUAGAUAUCACGAAGAACUCCGAUUGCGAAGGCAGCUCACUGGAGCGCAACUGACGCUGAAGCUCGAAAGUGCGGGUAUCGAACAGGAUUAGAUACCCUGGUAGUCCGCACGGUAAACGAUGGAUGCCCGCUGUUGGUCUGAAUAGGUCAGCGGCCAAGCGAAAGCAUUAAGCAUCCCACCUGGGGAGUACGCCGGCAACGGUGAGACUCAAAGGAAUUGACGGGGGCCCGCACAAGCGGAGGAACAUGUGGUUUAAUUCGAUGAUACGCGAGGAACCUUACCCGGGCU
rnacentral:rRNA from 1 species